GUGCAGAUGAUGAUAAGAAAGUGUGACACUGAGAUUUUCACUAUGAAGUCUCAAAAAACCGAGCUUUUUAAAACUGAUGCUCA
rfam:Musa acuminata subsp. malaccensis Doubled-haploid Pahang (DH-Pahang) genomic chromosome, chr1